rnacentral:rRNA from 1 species
AGCGAACGCUGGCGGCAGGCCUAACACAUGCAAGUCGAACGAAGUCUUCGGACUUAGUGGCGAACGGGUGAGUAACACGUGGGAACGUACCUUUUGGUUCGGAACAACUCAGGGAAACUUGAGCUAAUACCGGAUGAGCCCUUAGGGGGAAAGAUUUAUCGCCGAAAGAGCGGCCCGCGUUAGAUUAGCUAGUUGGUGAGGUAAAGGCUCACCAAGGCUACGAUCUAUAGCUGGUCUGAGAGGAUGAUCAGCCACACUGGGACUGAGAAACGGCGCAGACUCCUACGGGAGGCAGCAGUGGGGAAUCUUGCGCAAUGGGCGAAAGCCUGACGCAGCCAUGCCGCGUGAAUGAUGAAGGUCUUAGGAUUGUAAAAUUCUUUUACCAGGGACGAUAAUGACGGUACCUGGAGAAAAAGCCCCGGCUAACUUCGUGCCAGCCGCCGCGGUAAAAC